CACUGAUUUUUUAAAGGGCCGCAGUAUUUUAACUGUGCAAAGGUAGCAUAAUCAUUAGCUUUUUAAUUGAAGGCUUGUAUGAAUGAUUGAACGAAAAAUUGACUGUUUCAUUAUAAAAUUUAAAACUUUAUUUUUCAGUUAAAAAGCUGAAAUUUUUUUAAAAGACGAGAAGACCCUAUAGAUCUUUAUAUUAAUGUUAUUAAUUUAAAUAGUUUUUUGUUUAAUAAUUUUUAAUAUUUUGUUGGGGUGACAUUAAAAUUUAUCUAACUUUUAAUUUAUCAAUUACAUUAAUUAGUGAGUUGUUGAUCCUUUUUUAAAGAUUAAAAAAUUAAGUUACCUUAGGGAUAACAGCGUAAUUAUUUUGGAGAGUUCUUAUCGAUAAAAUAGUUUGCGACCUCGAUGUUGGAUUAAGAUUAAUUAUAGGUGCAGCCGCCUGUUAUAUUAAGUCUGUUCGACUUUUAAUUUCUUACAUGAUCUGAG
rnacentral:rRNA from 1 species